rnacentral:rRNA from 1 species
AUUGAACGCUGGCGGCAUGCCUUACACAUGCGAGUCGAACGGUAACAGGUCUUCGGAUGCUGACGAGUGGCGAACGGGUGAGUAAUACAUCGGAACGUGCCCGAUCGUGGGGGAUAACGAGGCGAAAGCUUUGCUAAUACCGCAUACGAUCUACGGAUGAAAGCGGGGGAUCUUCGGACCUCGCGCGGACGGAGCGGCCGAUGGCAGAUUAGGUAGUUGGUGGGAUAAAAGCUUACCAAGCCGACGAUCUGUAGCUGGUCUGAGAGGAUGAUCAGCCACACUGGGACUGAGACACGGCCCAGACUCCUACGGGAGGCAGCAGUGGGGAAUUUUAGACAAUGGGCGAAAGCCUGAUCCAGCCAUGCCGCGUGCAGGAUGAAGGCCUUCGGGUUGUAAACUGCUUUUGUACGGAACGAAAAGCCUCUUUCUAAUAAAGAGGGGUCAUGACGGUACCGUAAGAAUAAGCACCGGCUAACUACGUG